rnacentral:rRNA from 1 species
GAUGAACGCUGGCGGCGUGCCUAAUACAUGCAAGUCGAGCGAACAGACGAGGAGCUUGCUCCUCUGACGUUAGCGGCGGACGGGUGAGUAACACGUGGAUAACCUACCUAUAAGACUGGGAUAACUUCGGGAAAACGGAGCUAAUACCGGAUAAUAUAUUGAACCGCAUGGUUCAAUAGUGAAAGACGGCUUUGCUGUCACUUAUAGAUGGAUCCGCGCCGCAUUAGCUAGUUGGUAAGGUAACGGCUUACCAAGGCGACGAUGCGUAGCCGACCUGAGAGGGUGAUCGGCCACACUGGAACUGAGACACGGUCCAGACUCCUACGGGAGGCAGCAGUAGGGAAUCUUCCGCAAUGGGCGAAAGCCUGACGGAGCAACGCCGCGUGAGUGAUGAAGGUCUUCGGAUCGUAAAACUCUGUUAUUAGGGAAGAACAAAUGUGUAAGUAACUAUGCACGUCUUGACGGUACCUAAUCAGAAAGCCACGGCUAACUACGUG